AAAACUAAAUAAGCAAAGCCGGAGACAGCAGGAGCCAUUGGCUCAAAUAUCCUGCCGAGGUUAAAGCUCAAUUUACCUGAAACGCCACUCAUUAAGGUGUCAUUAAUCAGGUGCUCUGAGUUUUUCUAUCCAACCCCGGCUGAUAUAGCUGGGGUUAAUUGUUUUCACU
rfam:Chrysosporum ovalisporum strain TAM-MAO genome assembly, contig: 152